rnacentral:rRNA from 1 species
ACGGGGCGCAGCAGGCGCGAAACCUCCACAAUGUGGGAAACCACGAUGGGGGAACUCCAAGUGCUAACGCUAUGCGUUAGCUGUUCUUAUGUGUAAAAAGCAUGAGGAGAAAGAGCCGGGUAAGACGGGUGCCAGCCGCCGCGGUAAUACCCGCGGCUCGAGUGGUGCUCAUUAUUAUUGAGCCUAAAACGUUCGUAGCCGGUUUGGUAAAUUCUUGGGUAAAUAGAAUAGCUUAACUAUUCUAAUUCCGAGGAGACUGCUAAACUUGGGACUGGGAGAGGUGAAAUGUACUUUCGGGGUGGGGGUAAAAUCCUGUAAUCCUGAAAGGACAACCAGUGGCGAAGGCGUUUCACUAGAACAGAUCCGACGGUGAGGAACUAAGCCCUAGGGCGCAAACGGGAUUAGAUACCCCGGUAGUCUAGGGUGUAAACGCUGCAGACUUGGUGUUAGGUUUCCUGAGGGGGAAUCUAGUGCCGGAGAGAAGUCGUUAAGUCUGCUGCUUGGGGAGUACGGUCGCAAGACUGAAACUUAAAGGAAUUGGCGGGGGAGCACCGCAACGGGAGUAGUGUGCGGUUCAAUUGGAUUCAACGCCGGAAAACUCACCAGGAGCGACUAAUGGAUGAAAGCCAGGCUGAUGACCUUGCUUGAUCAUUAGAGAGGUGGUGCAUGGCCGUCGCCAGUUCGUACCGUAGGGCGUUCUGUUAAGUCAGAUAACGAACGAGACCCUCGCCCUUUAUUGCUAUCUACCUCUCCGGAGGUAGAGCACUUUAAGGGGACCGCUAACGCAAAGUUAGAGGAAGGGGAGGUCUACGGUAGGUCAGUAUGCCCCGAAUCUCCUGGGCAACACGCGCACUACAAAGAUUGGGACAAUGGGAUUCAACCUCGAAAGGGGAAGGUAAUCCUUAAACCCAACCACGGUUUGGAUUGAGGGCUGUAAUUCGCCCUCAUGAAACUGGAUUCCGUAGUAAUCGCGGAUCAACAUUCCGCGGUGAAUGUGCCCCUGCUCCUUGCACACACCGCCCGUCAAGCCAUCCGAAUUGGGCCUGAGUGAGGGCUAUUCUAUGUGAAUAUUUCGAACUUGAGUUCAGUAAGGGGGGCUAAGUCGUAACAAGGUAGCCCGUA